rnacentral:ncRNA from 2 species
UAUGUCCGCUGGGGGAGCCUUAACGGCUGAGAUGGCAUUGAUGCCAAACCCUUGGAACCUGAUGAGGGUAAUGCCUCCGUAGGGAAUGCGGCUCAAAAAUACC